AAUUGCAAACCAAAAUGCAGUUCCAUUUUGACCGAACCUGCUGCUGUACAAGCUCUUCAUUUUUCAACCGAUUAAUUCACUGGAAUCUUUUGCCGCAACACUUGGUCCAGCAUGAUCAGCACCAACAAGCCAAGCUGCUACUGGUCCAGUGACUCAUCCGAGGCAGAGGGUCAGACUGGAAGCUGCACUGCAUGCAGAAUGAAAGAAAAAGCAGGUGGAUCGUGACGCCACGUUUCCCGAGAGCCUGCACCAGCGCCGCCUCCAACCAACAGUUCCAGGACUUUGAUUGGAAUUUUGCGACAGGCCUAAACUUUGAGGACGACUCGACUUCACAACG